UACGUAAGGCGCAAGCGUUCUCCGGAAUUAUUGGGCGUAAAGAGCUCGUAGGCGGUCUGUCGCGUCGAUCGUGAAAACUUGGGGCUUAACCCUGAGCUUGCGGUCGAUACGGGCAUGACUGGAGUUCGGCAGGGGAGACUGGAAUUCCUGGUGUAGCGGUGAAAUGCGCAGAUAUCAGGAGGAACACCCGUGGCGAAGGCGGCCCUCUGGCUCGACCCUGACGCUGAGAGGCGAAAGCGUGGGGAGCGAACGGG
rnacentral:rRNA from 1 species